CAGUCGCCGCGGUAAUACGAACCGUGCGAACGUUAUUCGGAAUUACUGGGCUUAAAGCGCGUGUAGGCGGGCCGCCACGUCGGUUGCUGAAAUCCCCCGGCUCAACCGGGGAAGUGGCAUCGAUACGAGCGGCCUUGAGGGGGGUAGGGGGAUCUGGAACUUCCGGUGGAGCGGUGAAAUGCGUUGAGAUCGGAAGGGACGCCCGUGGCGAAAGCGAGGUCCUGGACCCUUUCUGACGCUGAGACGCGAAAGCCAGGGGAACGAACGGGAUUAGAUACCCGGGUAGUCCCUGUCUCUUAUA
rnacentral:rRNA from 1 species